AGUGAACGCUGGCGGUAGGCCUAACACAUGCAAGUCGAACGGCAGCACAGUAAGAGCUUGCUCUUACGGGUGGCGAGUGGCGGACGGGUGAGGAAUACAUCGGAAUCUACUUUUUCGUGGGGGAUAACGUAGGGAAACUUACGCUAAUACCGCAUACGACCUACGGGUGAAAGCAGGGGAUCUUCGGACCUUGCGCGAUUGAAUGAGCCGAUGUCGGAUUAGCUAGUUGGCGGGGUAAAGGCCCACCAAGGCGACGAUCCGUAGCUGGUAUGAGAAGAUGAGGUGCCCCGCUUGAGCUGGUACACGGUCCAGAGUCCUACGGGAGGCAGCAGUGGGGAAUAUUGGACGAUGCGCGGAAGCCUGAUGCAGCCAUGCCGCGUGGGUGAAGAAGGCCUUCGGGUUGUAAAGCCCUUUUGUUGGGAAAGAAAAGCGGCAGGUUAAUACCCCGCUGUUCUGACGGUACCCAAAGAAUAAGCACCGGCUAACUUCGUG
rnacentral:rRNA from 1 species